rnacentral:rRNA from 1 species
CCUACGGGUGGCUGCAGUGAGGAAUAUUGGUCAAUGGCCGGAAGGCUGAACCAGCCAUGCCGCGUGAAGGUCAGUGCCCUAUGGGCGUUAAACUUCUUUUGUGCGGGAGCAAUAAUGGUCACGUGUGGCCAGACGAGAGUACCGUACGAAUAAGCAUCGGCUAAAUCCGUGCCAGCAGCCGCGGUAAUACGGGGGAUGCAAGCGUUAUCCGGAUUUAUUGGGUUUAAAGGGUGCGUAGGCUGGGAGGUAAGUCAGCGGUGAAAUGACCCCGCUCAACGGGGUGAAGUGCCAUUGAUACUGCCUGGCUGGAAUGCGGAUGCCGUGGGAGGAAUGUGUGGUGUAGCGGUGAAAUGCAUAGAUAUCACACAGAACACCGAUUGCGAAGGCAUCUCACGAAUCCGCGAUUGACGCUGAUGCACGAAAGCGUGGGUAUCAAACAGGAUUAGAUACCCGUGUAGUC